UACUAUAUACUAUCCGUGGAGGAAUCGGCGAGCUCUCGGCGUGCCUACCUACUGUAGCUCCUGUAGCGUCAUUCAUGAUAGGUGGGUCCGGAUGCCAGCGCCAGCUCCCAUCUCGCGUGAGUCCAGAAAAGUCCAGCGUCUCCCUCCACGAACUCCAGCCAUCGGCCGAAAAAAUCGUCGCUUCCUCCUCCCACAUUUCGCUCGCGUACUCGCACCGCCCGUGAGCUCCUCCAUCGGAUCCCCGCCUUCCCGAGCCACUUCCCACCCGGAGCUCCCGCGCGCCCGCCUUCCUCCACACCGGCCGAGCACCACCUCCACUCCGCCGACGAACUCCAGGCUGUGUUUUCUUUCUCUCACCAAAGCGCAGCGACAGCAGCUACAGCUCCUCCCCAAGCUCCAUCUCUUGCUCAGAUCCACAAAAGAAGAACCAUCAGGAGCUCCUCCAUCAGGUGCCGUUUCUCGGAACUCAAUGAGCUCUCAGCUGUAGUUUUCUGUAGCACGCCAAUCCCCUCCUCGUGUGAAGCCUAGAGAAACCAAGCGACUCCCUCGACGAACUCCAAUCGCCGGUCCCGAAAUUAGGCCAACUCCUUCCUCACUCACUUCUCCCGCCUGCUCCUCACCCCUCCACCUUCCCCAACCGUGGUUAUUGAACAUAGUCGAGAGAAAGAUGCAGUGCCUGUUCGGCAACAAUGGCUGCCUUUACCUCGAUGCUUACGGUGGCAUCGCCAACGUUUGUUGUGGGCACUGACCUCCUGAUUGAUUAUGUAAUUAGAGGGUGGAUUUGUUUGAUGCCAAGAACUGCUGCCCCUCAGGUGCUUGCUUACCUGUUUCCAUAGCAAGGUUGACGAUGGCAUUAAAAGUGGUGAAUUAAUUGGCUGUAUCUUUAUUGCAUUGCGAACAUGUCCAUGAAAAGCUUCGACUCCAACAAUGUUGCCGUGCUCUCAUCCACCACUGGCAGCCUCUCUUACCAGCUACUCCGUUUGUGCUAAGAACAAAUAUAGUUCUGUUGUUGCUUCCUUGAAUGUUCAGAAGAUGUAUUGCUCAUUAGGCAUUCAUUUCUUAGAAGUGUUAGGCAGGCAACAAUAUAUUUUGCCAUGUCCGCUAAUGACACGGCAAUCCUAAAAUCAGAAUAUGCUCUUUUCGUGGACGUGUCCGGUUCAGAGCUAACCAAUCCAGUCAUCCACGUGAAUCGUGUCCCGAUAAGAAUCCAAAGGAGCUCUUCAUUGUAGGUAUUUGUUAUCGUCCUCCUCCUCGGAUCAUAAGUUUUAUUUGUUUCGGGAUUAUAGUAUGCUUUGCUGAUGCAAGGUGGUGGGCACGCAUCUCACAUAUAUUUGAGCCUCUUUCAAGUUCUAAAUAUUGUGCAUUGGUCAAAUAUUGCACUCUUGCUUUAAUGAUAUGAUAGGAUGUUUUUUUCCAGCUGAUAUAUUUCUUUGUGAGGUGCGAGUAUUCAGUUUGUUUUUUUUUAUGUUGUUUGUUAAACCAGAUGAACAUCUAUAUACGUCAAGAUUUUUCAUUUUGAUUAAAAUCGAAAUCAUGCAGUAUGGUGCCCUGCCUUAUAGCAUGUAGGCAGAUACUUGCCAAGGGAUUAAAAAGGGCUCCAAGCCGCUGUAAUGAAGCAAAAUUAUCUUUCAUAGUUUAGAUAUGCCACAUCGGGUUUCCUACAGAAAGAUAACCCAGCUUGCAUGGUUACUGUAUGAACACUUAUAGUGUUAAAGUUACUUAUUACAGGAAUUGCCCCUCCACCACAACAUUUGAAUGAGUGUGGCUAUGAAAAAACCCAAAAAAGCCCAUCUUAUCCUUCAAAUUGAAAACUACAAAUCACACAAUAUUUCAGCAUUAUAUUUAUUUGAUACGGGCGCAGUGAAACGCGCCAUUCUGC